rnacentral:lncRNA from 1 species
UUUGAAGACAGACCGCCAAACCCUUAGAACUCAUCUCAUAACCCUAUCUCUCCAUCUCCCUCAUUUGUCUCUUAACCUCGGCCGUCGUCCACCGCCGGAAAUCGCCCUCGGCGGUAGCCCAUCUCCAAACACGCCCAAAACUUCACUAGAUAACUACUAUAUUCCCCUCAACCAUAAUCCAUCUCAAACCUAAAAAGGCCAAAAACCACUAAUCUGCCUCCUUUUGAUUUUCUCGGAAUUUUUUGACUCGAUUGACCAAAAUUUGUGCUAAUCGAUUCUUCUUCAACCCAAAAUAAUAGAUUGACACUAAUUUUGGGUCACUUCAAAGUUGUCGGAAUCUGGUUGAUUUGCCCAUAGCCGGUCAGAGCACUCACGUGCCUGUUUCAAUGUUGGUGGUUCUUCUCUUCUUCUUUCUUUGUGUCUAUUGGUUUAAUUUUAGAUUAGUUAUAGAAUUUCAUUUUUUUGAUUGCAUGAUAUUUAGAUUAGCUUAUAAAUUUGUUAGUUUAAUUGGAAAACAUGUUUAGUUAAUUCCUUAAUUAGAAAUAAGAUAUGAUUGUUGCAUCUUUUGAUUUUGUUCCCUGUGUGAUUUUUGUUAAAGUCAAGCCCAUUUUGUUUUGGAUCGAUCAGGGCAGGGUCGCUUAGCUUAGGCCCAGUUGAGAGUUUCCUUUGUUUUGUUUCUAGAAGGUUAAUUUCAGAAUUUAAGAAGACUGUAAAUAAUAAGAAAAUAUAUAAAAGAGUACAGUUGUAAAAAAAAGAUAUGCUAAAAUAGGACAACUGUCCAUUUCUGUUGAAAAUAGAUGCUUAUCUCCUAAUUUUUAGCUGACAGAAUUCCCAGAGAUUCCCUCACACCUCUUUGAUUGUUUCCUCAUUUUGUUGAGCAUAUGAUAGAUUUCAUUCUCUAUAUAAGACCUCAUUUUUCUGUCAUUUUACUCUCUCUGAUUUCUGAACACAGACACACGAAAGAAAGGAGACUGACCCUUUUUCAUUUUUUUCUUGGCCUUCAUCUUUUGCAUUCUAAAUCAGAAAUUUCAAGCAUCAUUUUUCUCUAAAAGGUUCUAAACUCUAAAGAUAAUAAGAUUUUAUUCUCCUUAGUUUAGUGCUCCUGGUCUUUGGCUAAACAUCUGGGUGGGAUCACUUUUGAGUACUACUGACUUCUUUCCUUGCUGGGCUUCAGAUCUAGUUCAUUUGCUAGUUCCUAUUGUUUUUGUUGCUACAUAAAUGUACAUUUCCUUGAUUCUAAUUAUGUAAAGUGAUAUUGCUUAAUCAUAUCUUUAAAGGAUGAUCUCACUGACUUGUAUGCUUAUGUUUAGCAAAGAAUGGGAUGUAACUGAGAGUUAAACUGCAUGUUACUCUUUGUUAAUUUAGCAGUUGUCAUUACUGGUUUGAUUGUUCAUGUCUAGUUGAGUAUGAACUCGAUUUAAAUGUUAUCAUAUCAUUUGUCCUUGAAUUGCAAGUUGGUACCUAUGAGUAUGUGGCUGUGAUUUGCAAACUUGACCUCUAAAUUGGAUAGAUCAAUGAUGUUUCGAAGUCAAAAGUGGGGGUUAAAAUCCUUGGUGAUGAGCAGGCUAAAUCUAAGAAUGAUGUUGUCUUUGUUCAGUCUUGUAUCUCACUUUAAAUGAAUUGUACUUAUAUUAGGAGCAAUUUUUAUGUCAUGUAUCCCCUUUGAGAAUGAUAUUUAAGAGAUUUUAACUGUGAACUUUAAGUGUUUAGGCUAUUUGUGUAAUUCAAAAGCAGGUUUUGAAUUGAUGCGUGUUUAUAGUUUAGUUCGCUGUUAGUAUAAAAUUUGGAUUUGGAUACAAAUUUAUUUUAAUCGUGAUAUCAUGUAAAAGUUAUAAUUGAUGAGUCUUUUUGUUUCUCCUGUGAUUCAAACAAUGUAAAAUCAACUACGUCUUUCCUCUAAUUUGCAAUUGAUGUAAAUUUUGGUUAUUUGCCUAGAAAAAUGCAUCCAUUAAAGCCCAAAAAUACUAGCUACUUGUCAAAUUGUGGUUAGAACUGCAAUUGAGUUUAUGACCUCACGGUAAUAAGGUCUAUACAUGGGCUUGUAACUGGAUGGAUAUAGACCUAAAUAAUUUUGUCCAGUAGCAUAGGGGAUUCAAUUGGAUUCACUAUUGUAUAUGCAAGACUAACACCAUCUAGUUUUUUUUAUCUCUUUCUAGAAUUCGGUCGUUUGUAAUCUUUGGAUGUCUUUAAAAUAUGAAAAAACUCAUAUUGUUCACAUGGAUUACACUAUAAGACGAUUUAGAAGAUGAAAAGUGAGCCCAGUUUAUCUUAAUUGAUAUAUUGACUACCACAAAUCAUUCCAUAAAUCUUAACCCUUCAUGUUUCGUCUCGGAGUAGGGAAAAUAAUUGUGAACAUCGCAGUUUACUUUAGGCGCGUAAUUAAAUCAUCACGGCUAUGGGUACAGUUCUCAUGGCAUAAUCAUGAUACAUAACCUUCAAUUCGAGUGCGCAUUUUAUGUGACCUGAUCAUAGCUUCAAACAAUAAUAAAAAUAAAUAUGAUGUAGAUCGCGGGUACGGUUCACAUGAUGCGAUUCGCAAUGUGUACAAAAACAAACGAGUGUGCGACAUCGCGACUUGUUCAAACAAAUUCCAUAAAUAUUAAAAGCGGUUAAAAGGUUAAAAAUGCACAAUAGGUUUUAAAAAUAUAUUAAAUUAUAUAAUUAAGCCAAUUACUAAUGGUUGAGCAAUCGUGCUGAAACCACGGAACCGGGGAAUGCCUAACACCUUCUCCCGGGUUAACAUAAUUCCUUGCCCGAUCUUCUGGUUUUGCAGACUUUAAAAUAGAAUCAAAUUUCCUCGAUUUAGAAUUUAAAAUAAACCGGUGACUUGGGACACCAUAAAUUAUUCCAAGUGGCGACUCUAGAUUAAAUAAAUAAUCUCAUUUCAAUUAAUGUCACUUAAAUUUGAAAAACUCUCUAUCCCCUUAGGAAAAAGGAGGUUCGACAGCCCUGGUGACUCUGUUGGGGAUAUGAACCCAGAAUCUCUAGUUCAAGGUUCAAGAAUUCGAGCUUAGAAUAACUGUUAUACUUGGCUUUUAUUUAUUAUCUAUUUAUUAUGUGUUUGAGCCUAAUGUGCUAAAUACCACUCUUAAUCGCUUUGAUAUUGUUUGAACUGCAUAUAAAAGUAUUACAAAACUCUUCUUCUCUCUGAGUCUUCUAAAUCUUCUGGGAAAUGCACGCUGGCGUGACUUCUUUUCUGUUAGUGUCAUACCCUAUUUUAGAACGAGGAUCGGAUCAUGUAACGACCCGACCGGUCGUUUUGACCUCUAAUGCGUCAAUCAAUAGUUUGAGGCCAUGAGCAACUUCACUUUAGGUAUUAUGACUUGUACGCGUGGUUGGAAUUGAAUUCCGGGAAGCUCGGAGUUGAUUUGGAAAGAGAAUUCCCAUUUCGAAAGCUUUAAGUUGGAAGAAUUGGCUAAGAUUGGAUUUUUGAGUAAAUGACCUAGAAAUUGGGAUUUGAAGGUUCCAACAGGUUUGUAUGAUAAUUUUGAACUUGGUCGUAUGUCCGUAUCAGGUUUUGGAAGACCCAGGAACAUUUCGGCACCUAUUGUGGAAGUUGGCAUUUUUGAAAGAAUUUUAUAAAAUUGGGUUGAAGUGCAUUUCAGUGUUAUCAAUGUCCGUUUGGGAUUUUGAGUAUGUGAAUAGCUUUGUAUGGUGAUUCUGGUUUUGGGAGCGCGAUCGGAAGUGAAUUCGGAGGUUCGUGGGUCAUUUUUGGAGUCAUUUGGCUAAAGAUAGAAAUUUGAAGGUUUUUGAGGAGUUUGACCGGAAGUGGACUUUUUUAUAUCGGGGUCGGAUUUCGAAUCCAAAAGUAGGAGUAGAUCCGUAAUGUCAAAUAUGACCUGUGUGCAAAAUUUGAGGUCAAUCAGACGUGAUUUGUUAGGCUUUGGCAUCGAAUAUAGAAGUUUGAAAUUAUAAAGUUCAAUAAGCUUGGAUAGGGAUGCUAUUCAUGGUUUUAGCAUUGUUUGACAUGAUUUGAGUCCUUGAGAAGGUCCGUGUUAUGUUAUGGGACUUGUUGCUAUGUUUGGACGGGGUCCUAGGGGCCUCAGGUGGAUUCCGAGUGGUUAACGGAUCGAAUUAGAGCUGGGAGGAAGAGUGGAAGACUGCUGUCAUCUGGUGUAACCGUACCUGCGAGGUCUUGGCCGCAGGUGAAGAGUCGUAGAAGCGGCCUUGGUGCCACAAAAGCGAGAGUGACUGGGCUAGGCUGAGAUCACAGAUGCGUUCAUUUUGCUGCAAAAGCGGGACCGCACCUGCGGAAAGAAGGGCAAAGAUGCGGAAGUUGAGGGUCUGGAGGAGGACUGUAGAAGCCGAUUGUGGGUCGCACAUGCAAAACCGUAGAAGCAGUCUAGUGACCGCAGGUGCGAAAAUGCUGGAGGCAGUGAGGUUCUUUUAAAUUGGGGGUUGGGUUCAUUUCAACCCCAUUUCUUCCAUUGGAGCCGAUUUUGGAGCAACUUUGAGGUGCCAUUUUCACCACCAAGCAUGAGGUAAGUGGUUUAUGUUCGUUUUGAGUUAAAUACAUUGAUUUUGCGUAGAUUUUAGCAUGAAAAUUGGUAUAAACUUGGUGUUGAGGGGAAAACCUAGAAAAUUGGUAUUUUCGGAUUUUGACCACGAUUUUGGGCGUGAAAUUAAGAGUAAAUUACUUACUUAAGUUCGUGAGGUUAUGGGUAAACUUUAUCUUCGAAAAAUUUUGGAAUCCGGGCAUGUGGGCCCGAGGCUUUUUUGUCAACUUUUCGAUCGGGGUUAGAAAUGGUUAUAAAUUGUAUUUUUAUGAGUAAUUGAGCAUGUAAUAAUGGGUUUACAUAAUUAUGGGCUACCUUUGGAAUGUUGUGCAUCAAUUUGAGUCUUCAGAAGGGCGUGGAAUGCCGGUUAUGGAACUUCGUAGCGAGGUGAGUCUCCUUUCUAACCUUGUAAGAGGGAGUUGUCCCCAUAGGUGAGUUAAUUGGUUAUGUGCUCCUAUUUGUGGGGGCUACGUACGCACGAGGUAACGAGAGUCCGUGCGUAACUACUAUUAUGCUUAAGUUCGGGUAGUCUAAGGCCCAAAAGCAUGCUUUACUUGUAAUAUUUGCAACCUUGUUGUCAAUUUAAAAAUGCCUAAACACAUAUUGAAUGUAUAAAUAAAUUUCUAAAAGGCUAGACAUUAUUUCUUGACUUUUAACAGAGAAACUUGUCUUUUACUGGAUAAUUGCUCCCUGAUGAAUUCUUGGUUGAUUACUUGAAUGCGUUAAUUUAUUUUGGAAUGGGCUGAAUGCCUCGGUAGAUUAAAUAGAUGCAUCUAUGGUUUGUGCCAUUCGAGCCUCUCGUAAUGCACAGUUUAAAUAUUGUUGGAUCGGGUCGUACGACCUCGGCAUGAUUUGCACAUGCUUGUGUUGCUUGCCUUGAAAUUCAUUGAUGUUGAUAUUUGUUUCUCCCUGCCUUAGAUAAAUGUAUACAUGACGAAAACGAAUUUGGGAACUUCCUAUAAAAGAAAGAAUUGUUUGCUUGCCUCAUGCUAUUGAAUUACAUCCCUUUUAUGAAAAUUCUCGAUUUACUAUACUAUUGGUAUAUUGUGAUUGGACCACUAGUAAGUGUCGAAGUCGACCUCUCGUCUCUACUUUUUCAAGAUUAGACAGGAUACUUACUGAGUACACGUUGUUUUUGUACUCAUGCUACACUUGUUUUGCAUUUUUGUUGCACAGGCACAUGUAUCUCUAGUGGCCUAGUGGGCGUAACAGCGUGGUUGAUACGGAG